ensembl:misc_RNA Y_RNA Y RNA
GGCCGGUUCAAGUGCAGUGGUUCAAGUGCAGUGGUGUUUACAACCAAUUGAUCACAACCAGUUACAUAUUUCUUUGUUCCUUCUCCACUCCCACUGCUUCAUUUGACUAGCCUUAA